rnacentral:rRNA from 1 species
GCCAGCAGCCAUAUCACCCUGCAACUCGCAACUAGUAACCCACUGAAGCUAAGCAGGUGUGAGGCUGGUUAGUUCCUGGAUGGGAGACCUCCUGGGAAAAACCAACGUUGAUGCUGGGA